CAGCGCCCAUUCCGCGUACAUCGAGUAUCCAAAAUGAGUAAAAUCGGUUUAUACGUUGGAAUGUAGCUUAUGAUUCCAAAAUCUCAUCUCCAGGCUGCCUAGAUCACACGGCCCCGUUUCAUUCAUUUUUACUUAAUAACGGUCGUUGGACAAUUUAGAGAAGCAGCAGAAACCACGAGAAAAACAGUGGAGUCAAACGGCGCUGCAGGCGCUGUUGUAGGAGCAAGGGAUACAAUGAUGAUCAAGGCAGAUGCAGCCCUUACCUUCAGGUCGUGGAGUCCGGAUACAGACUGGAGGCAGGCAGCUGUAAGAUGUGUGACAAAUGCUGCGCUGGAUCAGCCCAUGGUAUUAGGAGAGCAGCUGAGUGCCACGUGCUGACGUCACUAAGAUCAAUACAGCAAACUCUGAAAGAUGGACAGAGAGACAGGAGAUGGUCCUUUAUAAUGCAGUGUGAUCUGUGCUGCAAUAGAGUUUUGGAAGCUAGAAGUUCAAAACGAGGUGUUGGCAGCACCAUGCUCUCUCUGAAGAUGCUAGGAAGAAUCUGCUCCAUGCCUUUCCAUUCGCUCCUGGGGUUUCCUGCAAGCCCUGACAUUCCUUGGCUUGUAGAUACACCACCCCAGUUUCCGCCCCCAUCAUCACAUGGCCUCCUCUCUGUGGGUGCCUCUGCGUUCCCUCUAUUCUUCUUCUAAGGACACCGACACCAGUCAUAGUGGAUUAAGGGUCCACUCCUAACUAAUUACAUCUGCAACCACCCUAUUUCCAAAUAAAGUCACAUUCUAAGAUUCCUAGGGAGAACAUGAAGUUUUGGGGGUGUGUGGAUACUGUUCAACCUGGGACAUGGAGUAAAUAAAUGGCAAGAAAGAUUACAGAUGACUUUAAGCUAAAGAGGGAGAUAGGGUUAAAUGUAGGACUUUUUUUUUUUUCCAGGACGGGAGAGGUUUAAACAUGUUACUACAUUGAAUAAAUGAA
rnacentral:lncRNA from 1 species